UUAUGCGCAGACCUCGCCGAUGCCACUUACUUCCGCCGGUUAGACAGCGAACAGAUCUCUAAACUUACACUCCUGAAGAAACUUUUAUACCGCAUUGCACCUCCCUUUCAAACGUUUUUUCUCUUAUGUUUUAUUUUAUGCGGGUAUAGGUUGUCUUUUGUGUAUGCUUGUACUCCCAGAUAGUUAAAGCUGCACAGAUAUGAACAUGAGAAGUGUUUAAAUGAACGUCCAGUGGUAACGCUGUUAUUAUGGCUGCUCACCGCAACACUACAUUGGAGGAUGGUUUCCCCACUCUGAAGCCGAGACGCAUCCAGAACCAGAAUGUGGUCUACAGGCUAGAGAGGCGUCGGAUCUGCUCCGGUCCACUCGGGGCUCAUUGGUACCGUGUGCGCUGUUUCCACCAGAACCUGUUCCCCAACUUCACAGUGGUGAACGUAGAGAAGCCACCCUGCUUCCUGCGCAAGUUCUCCCCUGACGGACGAUGCUUUAUUGCAUUCUCCUCUGAUCAAACUUCCUUGGAAAUCUACGAGUACCAGGGAUGCCAAGCCGCUGAAGAUCUUCUCCAGGGUCAGGAGGGAGAAACGUUGGCCAAUGGGAACGACCAGCGCUCCCUCAACAUCAGAGGCAGACUCUUCGAACGCUUCUUCUCCCUGCUCCACGUCACCAACGUGGCCUCCAACGGUGAGCACUUGAAUAGAGAGUGCAGUCUUUUCACUGACGACUGCCGCUAUGUGAUCGUCGGCUCUGCUGCCUACUUGCCAGAAGAACCUCAUCCGCACUUUUUCGAGGUGUACAGAAACAACGAAUCUGUGACACCAAACCCACGCUCACCUCUUGAAGACUACUCUCUGCACAUCAUAGACCUGCACACGGGCCGACUGUGUGAUACACGCACCUUUAAGUGUGACAAAAUCAUCCUGUCACACAAUCAAGGACUGUACCUGUACAGAAAUAUAUUGGCUGUGCUUUCUGUGCAGCAACAGACCAUUCAUGUUUUCCAGGUGACACCAGAAGGAACCUUCCUUGACGUGCGCACCAUCGGCCGUUUUUGUUACGAGGAUGACCUGCUGACGCUGUCUGCGGUUUACUCCGAGGCCCAGGCUGAAGGCCAGCCCGGUUUCUCCCGCCUUUAUAAGGAGAAAACCAUAAACUCUUUGAAGCACCGUCUCCUGGUGUACCUGUGGAGGAGGGCAGAGCAGGACGGCAGUGCCACGGCCAAGCGGCGGUUCUUUCAAUUCUUCGAUCAGCUCAGGCAGCUGCGCAUGUGGAAGAUGCAGCUCCUGGACGAACAUCACCUGUUCAUCAAGUACACCAGCGAAGAUGUAGUCACACUGAGGGUCACCGACCCCUCGCAGCCCUCUUUCUUCGUGGUUUACAAUAUGCUAACCACCGAGGUUAUUGCAGUUUUCGAGAACACUUCUGACAAACUUCUGGAGCUUUUUGAAAACUUCUGCGACCUCUUCCGUAACGCCACACUCCACAGCGAGGCUGUGCAGUUCCCCUGCUCUGCUUCCAGCAACAACUUUGCCCGGCAGGUACAACGCAGGUUCAAAGACACCAUCGUGAAUGCCAAAUACGGAGGGCACACAGAAGCGGUCAGAAGGCUUCUCGGUCAGCUGCCCAUCAGUGCUCAGUCCUACAGCAGUAGCCCGUAUCUGGAUCUUUCCCUCUUCAGCUACGAUGACAAGUGGGUGUCUGUCAUGGAGCGGCCAAAGACCUGUGGCGAUCAUCCCAUACGGUUCUAUGCGAGGGACUCUGGAUUGCUGAAAUUUAAGAUCCAGGCAGGCCUGCUGGGCAGACCCAUUAACCACGCUGUCAGGAGACUGGUCGCGUUCACCUUCCAUCCCUUCGAGCCCUUUGCCAUCUCUGUGCAGCGCACCAACGCCGAAUACGUUGUCAACUUUCACAUGCGCCACGGAUGCGUAUGAUAUUGCAUGUGGAAACCUUCUCCAGAGGACGAGAUCUGGGAGUUUAUCCUCAAACGCAGAAUAACACCACGCUGUGUCAGGAGUCGGGUCUGAAACAUUGUCAUGAAUCAGAGGGGACGGAGAUGUUGUCCAACCUAUGGAAGGAAAACAGAGAGGGAGAAAAUGAAAGAGAAACAGAGGGCAUCGUGCUUCUCACAAGCUGACAAUUCCACCGACUCUGUCAGACAGCAGUUGACUGCUACUCUGCUAUUCCUGUUCGAGGGAUGAACCCACUCUGCCUUGUUGGCACAGAUAUUUUUAGCCUUGGCGUUUGGCAGAGAGACCAGCACUAAGAGUGAUGGGGCCACACAGGCCUCCAACGGCAAAAGGGCAGCAGUGGGAAGAAGAGGGCGGAGGCGGGCAAGGUCACAUGGGCCACCGGAGACGAGAGAGUGGAGAAUGAGGUGAUGAGAUCUGGUGAUUGAGUCUUGUGAAAUCUGUCUUUGACAGACUGCUUCUUAUACCUGUGAAAGGUAUGGGAUUUUCUUAAAUUUUCAAUUAUGUAGGCAAAAUCACAACUAAAAUGAUCGGAAAUGCAGAAUUUGUAUUUUACUUCUCUGUUUCACUGUUUUCUUAGUACAAUGUUUUUCUCAUCUUUAACAUCUGUUUGCUAUCACAGGACUGCCAAAACAGCCUAAACCCUUCACAGUGUAUUGCCUCAUCUUUUUUUUUUUUUUUGCAGACUCUGUAUGCCCGGAUUGUAUAAUGGCUCCUCCUCAGUUACUGAUAGACUUCUUUUCCUGCCUUUUAGCUCUCUUCCCAGCAGGUCUCUUUCUUAGAUCCAGCUGUGUGUGUGCCGCACUCUGCGGAAAGCACUAACAUAUUCCCUUUGUUAGCCGUACUGUACCUCCACAAUUUGUCUCCGCAUGGAUGACCUUGACUGCUCCAAUCUUAAAAUAGACCCUGCACACAGGUGUUUUUUUAUCACUUCCUCAAGACUUUAUUAUCACAUGCAGGUUUUCUUUCUAUAAAUGGAAGAUCUGAAUCUUACGCUAUCAACCGUCUCCUGCCAAGUCAAAGCAAUCUGUCGUUUGGCAUCCGGUUCUGCAGACUACUUGUUGCUAUGUGAACGUUUUAAGGCUUUAUGUUUUGGAAAGUCACAUUUCUGGAAUAAAUUUUCUGAUCACCUA